rnacentral:lncRNA from 1 species
GAAAGGAGGCCCCUGGGGAGGGCCAGGCCAGAGGUCUGUCGAGGGCUGGUCUCGGUUUCUGCAGCUCAAGCACUGUCUGGAUGGCUGGUACCUGAAGGAUGAAGGAUGCUAGAAGGAGCUGCUCAGAUCCUGGAGCAUACCAACUGCCUGGCCAGUGGGGGAGCCUAGCUGCCUACAUCCCUGCGCACACCCCCACUGUCGCUGGUUUGCGGAGACCAGAUCAAAGGACCGGACAAAGAGGAGGUAGGGGCCCUUGUGGGGACAGUCAGCAGAAAUAUACUGGAAAUAGGUGGGCUGGCGUGAAGGGGGCGGGGGGAUGGAUUGACGUCUACAAAAUAGAAGACUGCCAAAAGCUAGUCUAGAUAAUGUGCUGUGGGGACUCUGAGGGAGAGUGUAUCCAGUUAGGGUCACCGCCCUGGGCCGAAGCCCCGCCUCCCAGGGCUACAAAAG